rnacentral:lncRNA from 1 species
AGGCACAGGCUGAACUCUGGUUCUGAGAGGAAAGGCACUCCAGGGUUUUGGAGUGGGCCACCUGAACUUGACCCUCAGGGCAGAUAUCCUAGAGUUCCAAGGAAGGCCCAGGCUGGGCCAAGAAGCCACCUCCAGAAUGCUGUUGUGGCUGCUCCUGGAGUUGGGAGAAAGAAGGCUAAGUUAGUGCUGGAUGACAAUGACCCACCAAAGACUGCUGCUGAAGGGUCCUUGCCUCCUAAGGAGACUGCCACCAUGCAGCCUCUGAAGUGGGAGAAGCUGAGAAGGUGAAGCCGCUAAUGAUGUAACUUGCAGAUCCCUGCUGGAUCAACUCAUUUCUCUGUGCAGAAGAUCAGCCACUGUUCAAGGAAUAUAGAGCCCCACUCAGGGCCAAGGAGAGGCUCCAGAAAAAUCACAAACACAAGAAUGUGUGUGAGGUACUGGAUAAAGCUGAGCAUGCUGUCCCAGGCAUGGGGCCUUCUCACCGGUUCUCUGAAGCCACCCCCUCCUUUAUGCCUUGAGGCUGCUUGCUGAUGCCAGGAGUAAAAGAAAUGACUCCUGCCCCUCUGUCUGUGUCUCUCUGUCUCUCUGUCUGUGUCCACCCUCCCCCCCCACCCCCCAAAUCUGUCUUCUCCUGGCAGCUGCAGAGAUUUAUAAUUUACCUGCCUUGUUGUUUCUCUCUUACACUCUAAUAAAACUCAAGCUUCCGUUUGA